AUUGAACGCUGGCGGCAUGCCUUACACAUGCAAGUCGAACGGCAGCACGGGGGGUAACCCCUGGUGGCGAGUGGCGAACGGGUGAGUAAUAUAUCGGAACGUGUCCUGUAGCUGGGGAUAACCUAUCGAAAGAUGGACUAAUACCGCAUACGACCUACGGGUGAAAGCGGAGGACCGCAAGGCUUCGCACUAUAGGAGCGGCCGGUAUCGGAUUAGCUAGGUGGCGGGGUAACGGCCCACCAAGGCGACGAUCCGUAGAUGGUCUGAGAGGACGAUCAGCCACACUGGAACUGAGACACGGUCCAGACUCCUACGGGAGGCAGCAGUGGGGAAUUUUGGACAAUGGGCGCAAGCCUGAUCCAGCCAUGCCGCGUGAGUGAAGAAGGCCUUCGGGUUGUAAAGCUCUUUCGGCGGGGACGAAACGGUUCGUGCUAAUACCACGGACUACUGACGGUACCCGCAGAAGAAGCACCGGCUAACUACGUG
rnacentral:rRNA from 1 species